rnacentral:misc_RNA from 1 species
UUUUGACUCACAGCUCUUGCCAAUUAUUAGUUGAUUAAAGUCGUUUUCUGGUAAGCAGUAAAAGCAUGGCUGCAAUAAUAAAUCCUAAGUAUAUAAUAGGCAAGAAAGAGCUACUAGGCGAGGGAAGCUAUGGGAAGGUGUACACUGUGGAAUUGAAAGUGGCCAUAAAGGAAUUAAAAUCUUCAGAGGCAGAGAAAAUUAAAUCAUUUGAAGCGGAGGCCACGAACUUACUUCGCGCUCAACAUCCGAAUAUUAUAAGAUUAUACGGCAUUUCAGGAAAACACACACUGGUCAUGGAAUAUGCAGAUAAUACUCUCGAUAAGUACAUACAUAACGAGGAAAACAAAAUUACAGAGCUACAUCGUCAAAAUCUAAUGCUUCAGUGCGCCGAGUCUGACACCGUUGACACUUCACCGCGACCUGAAACCCGCAAAUAUUUUACUUACAAAUGAUAACUGUACGCUAAAGAUUUGUGAUUUCGGAACGGCACGAGAAAUACGUACAGAAAUGACAGCCGAAAAAGGAACUGCCGUAUAUAGGGCACCAGAAAUCAACGAAACCAUGAAAUACACUGAAAAAUGCGAUGUCUAUAGCUUUGCCCUUAUACUCUGGGAAGUAAUGUCUGGGAAAAAACCCUUUGCUGACCAAAUCAAAGAAGUUAUAGCGAUUGCAUACCAAACGUCUGUUAAAAAUCUUCGACCAAAUUUGGACGAUGUGCAAUUUUGUGUGAAUAAAGAAAUUAUGAAAGAUCUGAUUGAACAAGGCUGGGAUAAAAAGCCAUAUAUGCGUCCGUCAAUGAAAAUGCCUUAUUACUUAGCCUUGAUCAUUCCUCGAUGAAAUACCUAGUAAAACCUUCUAGCGAGGAUUACAAAGAUGCUACAAAAUCAAAUUAAAUUUACUGGUACUUAUAUACGACCGGGAUUAUGGAUACUCUGAUUGAGCAGUUCAAGACUCAAAUAAGCGGCAGUCAAUGGAAAUACAGUGGAGUCCGCUUAUAAGAUGCUCAAGGGGCUGACGAUUUUACAUUUUUAUACCCGGAGUAUGCUUAAACCGGACGGA